GAUGAAGAACGUAGCGAAAUGCGAUAAGUAAUGUGAAUUGCAGAAUUCAGUGAAUCAUCGAAUCUUUGAACGCACAUUGCGCCCCCUGGUAUUCCGGGGGACAUGCCUGUCCGAGCGUCAUUACAACCCUCAAGCUCUGCUUGGUGUUGGGCCCCGCCGCCCCGGCGGGCCCUAAAGUCAGUGGCGGUGCCAUCCGGCUCCGAGCGUAGUAAUUCUUCUCGCUCUGGAGGUCCGGUUGUGUGCUUGCCAUCAACCCCCAAUUUUUUUCAGGUUGACCUCGGAUCAGGUAGGGAUACCCGCUGAACUUAAGCAUAUCAAUAAGCGGAGGA
rnacentral:misc_RNA from 1 species